rnacentral:misc_RNA from 1 species
AAGUCGUAACAAGGUAACCGUAGGUGAACCUGCGGUUGGAUCAUUAAUGAACUUGGGUUGAGUGGCUUGUUGCCCCUCGAUCGUCAACCCCUUGUGAAUUGUAAUUGUAUUUGGCAAGUGAUGCCGCAGCUUGCGGUAGAAUUUCGCCUCCCUGCGGGUUAACUAACUAAAGGGGGGGUUGAAAGCUUGUCCCCUGUAAUCUAGACCAUAUAAUGCAUUUAAUCCUGAACAAUAAAUCAGAGAAAUACUGAAACAACUUUUGGCAACGGAUCUCUUGGCUCUC